CCGUCGCGGUGCUAGCGUCUAGGCAUCAUGUCUGCUGUUCGAUAUUUCACGAAAGUUCCGUCAAACUUACCAUCUUUACAAGAUUUUGAUAUAUUAUCAAAUAUGAAGCACUGAAAAUCUCAAUAAAAAAAUGGUCGGUAUGGCUAAUAUGGACGAACAUGAAAGAAAAAUUGUUACGGAAUUUGUUCAUUUACUGGAAAAAUCUAAGCAACUGUUCAAUGGUUUAAGGGACUUACCACAAUAUGGACAUAAACAGUGGCAAGCAUAUUUUGGUAGAACUUUCGAUAUUUAUACAAAAUUAUGGAAAUUUCAGCAGCAGCACCGACAAAUUUUAGAUGCAAAAUAUAGUUUGAAACGAUGGCAGAUAGGAGAAAUAGCAUCUAAAAUAGGACAAUUAUACUAUCAUUAUUACUUAAGAACUAGUGAAACCAAUUACUUGAAUGAGGCAUAUUCGUUUUAUGCCGCAAUACGAGGUCGUGCAUAUUAUUCAAGAGCAGCUAAAGAAGAUAGGUCCGAACUGAUGGUGAAAAAAUUGAGAUAUUAUGCGCGAUUCAUAGUCGUAUGCCUUCUUCUGAGACGUAUGAAGUUAGUUAGAGAAUUAAUAGUAGAAUUAGAUAGACAUAUCGCCGAUUACUCGAGCACGUAUGAACCUGAUGACCAAAUCGAAUGGAGUUUGGUUCUUGAUGAAAUUAAAGGUUUUAUACAAUCUGACUCUCUUGUGCAAGUCUUACACGCUGACACGAAUCCAAUCGUUCUUUCACACAGAUUGAGUCCUUUAACAACACCGCCUGUAGAAAAGUCGCAAUAUAUGAGUUUAACUCUUCAAGAGAUAUUGAUAAUAGGUAGCGCUUCUGAGCAAGUAAAGUUUUCUGAAUUAACAAUGGAUAUGUUCCGCAUGAUUCAAACUCUGGAAAGAGAACCUCAGGAAGAUUUUAAUCAUAUUUACGAUGCGUCUCCAGCACCAGGAAGAGUUCCUUAUGGAAUUAAUCCGCCGAAAGGUUACAUUGAAAAUGGCGAUAGGCCCUCAAGAAGAGAAAACCCUCAUAAAUAUUUACUGUACAAACCCACUUUAAGUCACGUCUUAGUAUUCUUAGCUAGUGGUUUCAAAGAACUACCAACCAAUGGUGCUCUGUUACUAUAUUUAUCGGCUGAUGGUUGUUUUUCGACUACAAAACAUCCUGAAGACAUGGGUUAUGAUCUUGGUGGUGUUCUAACUAGUAGCCGAAGAGACGGAGAUCACAAAAAACAAAAAGAAGCUCACUGCCUUUAUCCUGGUGAUUUAUAUCCAUUCACAAGGAGACCUCUAUUUGUUAUAGUAGAUUCAGACAAUAGUUUCGUUUUUCAACACAUUCCCAGAUAUUUUGGACAGCCAUUGGUUACGUUAAUGUCGCCACAAGAUACACCUCCAGCUUUCCAAGAUCAACAGCACAAUGGUUCUCUAUUUACACUGUUCCUUCAUUCACCUUUGACAGCCUUCUGUUAUUGCUGUAAUUUGACAACCAUUCCAAUUCACCAUUGGGAAAGAUGUCAAAGUUUCGUUGAUAGAUUCGUAACGGAGGCUUCUCGACUUUUCACUAGAUCUCGAGUCGAAUCCUCAUAUCUUCAAUUUUUCGGUGACGAUUUCCUUCGUUUAUUGUUGUUGCGAUAUGUAUUCUGCGACGUAGUGCUACAUCUUCACAGAGCGUUUAAAGGUCGUCAGUACCGUCCGAGAUGUCAACCUCCACUACCCGAAGCAGACUUAUUAGAACAUCCAUCAUUACAGCACCUCGUACUGGAUCUCGCGGCACACCUCGAAGUGCGAACUCACUUCAUGGAAAGUCAUGAGGUCGAAUGAUCCAGGGCGUCGUCCUCAUGGCCAUGUGUGGGGUUUAAUAAAAACUCGACAUCAUCUUCACGGCAUAUCCAUGAGGAUGGAUGCGAAGCAAGAGAUAGGUCGUUCAUUCGUAUAGUAAUGCUAAUUGCCUUCGCCAUAGUGUUUUUGCUUACAAACACGCGUUUUUUGUGGAUGAUUAUAAGAGCUUUACAAUUUUUUUGGACUCUUUAUACAUUAUGCGGCAGAUUAGUUUGCAAGUACCUGCCUGUUUUGGGAUUAGCAUCUCUAUUACUUAUCGAUAAGAAGCGCAAAUUAGAAUAUGAGAUGUCCUUUAGGGCGUAUCUAAAUUCGAAACAUUCAAUUUCGGUGAUACUAUUCACAUAGCUCAAUGUUGAGCACAUCGUCUUUCAAAAAUUCCGUUCAUAUAUCGAAUUAACGUUAUGAAUAUAUACACCUUUUGGACAUUACUACCAAUGACCAACAGUGAUUUAAAAAAAGCCUUCUCGUGCCGAUUACGAUAGUGAGUAUUAUUUAUUAAUAAUAUAUUAAUUAAUUAUUUGAGUGCAUGACAUUAGAAUUAGGAGAUACAAUCUACUAUAUUACACUUUUCAAAUUUAAAUACCUCAAAAAUGUAAUAAAUUAUCAAUAAUAGUCGUAAGUUCAUUUUAAUGUACCUCAAAAUUCUUCUGCUUAAUUCGAAUAAGAUUAGGAAUAAUGUCAAAAAAAUUACGAAUAUACGUCAAGAUGUUUCGAUAAAAACACUUAUUUAGAAAUAAAAUGAAAUAUAAAUUUACGUUUAUAUAUUAUUUGAGUGUAUUUACAUGGAUUUGACGGUUAUGGAAGGUUCCGCUAAUAGCUAAAUUCAAUCCCAUAAAGAUUUAUUCUCAAAGACAAGUUUUUCAAUGACAAAACUUUGUCAAUUUUGUUAUUGUUGUAAUACAUUUUUGUUUGAAAUUGAGAUUAUGAAUAAUUUUUGUUUUGAUCUAUUUACGUUUAAUCAUUAUUCGAGUUUAAAUGAAUAAUUAAUUAAUUUGUAAAUUACUUACGAGCUUGCAGACUUUUGUUUAGAGGCAAAUUUCUACAGCGCCGUUCAGUUUAGCUCCACAAAAGGUUAUUAGUUUUUUAACUGAAAAUAAUAUGGCAAUUUAAAACAAAAUUUAAAAAAGAAUUUGCUUUAGUGGUGUAAAAAAUAGAGGCUGACAGCGCGCCACUGGUUAAAUUUUUCCAAAGGUUGUUUAUAUCAAAAUAUCAUUUUAUUAAUGAGCAUAUUGGUUCUCCAAAUUUAGAGAAAAAAUUUAAAGGCGUUCUUGAUUUUUGGCAAAUUUUUGAUUUAAAAUUUUGAACACCCUAUAUCUUAGCAACUAGGCUUUGUGAGGGUUCGUAUUCCUAUAUCAAAAUGAAUCAUUUAUUGAGAUCUAUAUGGAGAUUUGUUAAAUCAUGUUCUGUGAUCAAACGUCAAGUUUGUAGAAGAAAAAUUAAUUGAAUUAUUAUUUACAAUUUUGAAUUAUAAUGACAAUUUUUAUAUACAUAUAAAAGUCGGUGAUUGAUGAAUACACCUCGUAAUUCUUUAAAAAGGAACUAGACAAAGUAUUACCGCUUAAUAUAAAACUUGUUAAGUUUGAAAAAAGCAAACAAAAAAGCUUUUGUUUUGAAAAUAUACCUGUCAAAAACCAACAAGACACAGAAAACAAAAGUCAGCGGACGCCAUAUGUGUAAUACUCUUAUCUGGUCAAUUCCUAUAAAUGGAAGCAGUUCCGACUAAGAAAGACAGAAUGAUAACUGUUCCUCUAUUCUCCGACGCUCUAGCUCGGUUCUGCGCAUUCUCCAGUAUGCUCAGUAUAGAUAAAGUGUCUCGAACGAGAGGGAUAAUAGUAUAUCGUCGGCACCUUAAUGGUGGUACAUUCCUUUCCGUUUAAACUGUCCAAUAUUACAUAUAUGGCGGACGCUCAACAUCGCUACCGUUACCGAUAGGUAGCAGUAGCGCCAUUCAUUACAUACUUAACGUGACAAGGUGAAUGUGAAGGUUACUUUAUUUCUAUAUAUGUUGUGUUUUUCUUGAACCGAUCAGUUUGGAAUAUCAUUUUUGAGGUAUAACAUUUAUUACACACUAAAUUCAUACCAUAUUGCGAUAUUAUAGCUGAACAAACUUCUAAUAUGGAUAACAAUUAUUAUUAUAUAAAUUUCGGUCAAAACACUGUACAUAUUCUAUCAGAAGUUAAAUAUUUGAAUAUAUCAUGCGACUGCUUAAUCUUUAAACAGAAAAACAUUAAUGAAACUAGCCAUUUUUUAACUGCAUGCAUGGUAUUAAAAUCGAAUUAGUCGACUCAAAUUUACUAAACAAUUUAUAUUUUAUAAGAGUGUCCUAAAUAAGAUUAACUCAUAUUAAAUACAAAACCAUAUCAAAUAAAAUUUAUUCAAUAAAAAAGUCGUUUCAAGUGCUUCCAUGCCUUUUAUACGGAAAACACUUGAUUCAGAUUAUUUUUAGUUUAUAAUAAGCAAAGUACACACUUCGUUGUUGUGGGAUUAAUAUUAUAUAUCAAAUUUGGAGAUGUUAUAGAAAACAAUAUUUAGAAGCAAUCGGGUUUAAUUUUUUUUCAGUUUUCAAGAUAGAAAUCAUGUGUUUUCUCGAAUUUUUAUUGUUAUUUUCUAUAUAAUUUCUAUUUUAUGAAUAUUUGCUUUUCCUAUAUAAAUCUAAUAUAACUUUUCUCGAGCAGAUCUUUGGAAAUUCUCCAAAAAAAUACAGGGCUGUAUCAAAAACAAUUCUUCCAAAUCCCUGCCGGUAAAUGUGUCACUUGUAAGUUAAGUUCAGAAUAAGAUGCACGAAAUGGUAUCUCGUAGCAUCCACGUGCUUUUUGAUAAUAAAACCUACUUUUCUUGGUUUGAUAAAAUUGCAAUUCUUAUGUAUGUAUAACGUUGUUUUCUCCAUUUAUUUAAAUUUAUUAAUGUUAUUGUAUCUGAGCAGUUUCUCAACUUUUCCCACGAAUGGGUGGACGUAAAAAAAUAUAGUACAUUACACGACCCGUAACGUGUUACUUACAAUUCACGUAUACACUAUAUAUUACAAGCUUCGGUACGAAACAAGUGAAACAAUAUAUUAUGGUGACGAUAAUGGAAUUAGUGAUUUGUCUGAUUACAAAAAUCCAAGUUAAAACAAUACAACGAUGAAUUUGGAAAAGUGAAACGUAAGAUAGUUAUCUGGAUUAUAUGAUAUAACAUAUAAUUUAGAAGUAUUUUUUAAUAUCUCCUUAAAGGGCUAUACAAAAAAUUCGACAGAUCACACGUUUUCGAUUAUUUCAAGUACAAAAGAAAACUGAUUUUGAUAUCUUCUAAUUUUAUUAUUCCAUUAAAUAUAUACCUCAAAUUUGGGACACCCGGUACAAGUAUGUAACGUUUUUACUUAUUCUAUAAAUAAUUUGAAUAUAUAUACAACCAUAACAAGUUGGGACUUGUAUUAACUAUAGACUCCUGAGAUGAAAAUAAGUUGAUUGAAACCAACUUACCUAUAUCCGAAAUAGUUUUGUAAAAUUUUUCAAAAAAUUAAUAAUUUUGGUCACAAAAAAGUAGACUGAGAUCGAUUUUCAUAAUUUUUGACAUGACAUUUCCUGUGAUUUAAAGGUACGUCUGAUAUGGAUUUGGUCAUAACCAGUAAAUGACCUCCAAAAACGAACAUAGUGGUCACUUUUUAGACUCUAGAAAUCUUCUAUUAUAUUUUUUUCUUUGUAAAAUGUAGGUACAUCAAUUAACAUAAUUCCUAUCGAUUUUUAUGCAUUUUUGAGCUAAAUAAACCAGUAAUAUUCCACAACUUAACAUGAAUUGACACCCUCGCUGAAUUCGCAAAACACAACUAGACUAGAACUUUCUAGAGAUGUUGGAAAAAUAUCCCAAGAGAAAUACUAGUGGUUUGCCUCGUGAAACUUACGUUUCAAAAUAUGUGAUUCUCAACGUUAUUGAAGCACCUUUAAGAGCCCUAUCAUUUUCAAAAUUUACAACUCCUUUCAAAUUCAUAAAGAAAUCCGUUUCAGCGACGAAGCAGGCUUUAGCAAAAAUCUAACAAAUUAACACAACGAAUAUGUGUGUUCAGUAGGAAAUUCGUUUUUUUUUUUCAGCGUGAGUUUCGACUCAACUUAGUGUUCAAAGUUUCUCUAUGACAUAUUACCAAGCUUACUGUAAUUGAGUGUGCGAUACUUUCUAUAUGAACAGUUUCCUAAUGGAAAUAGAAAAUGGUCACUUCAUUCACUGCGUUUUAAUAUUCGGGACUAGUAUUUAUAAAGACCUGCGCUUACCCUACUCCAGAAAACAAAACAAGAAGAAUUUUGAACGAAACUUAAAAACGACGAAGAAGCAAUUGAAUAUAAUCAACAAAUAAUGUAGAAUAUUCAGAUCCAUUGUUUGCAUAGGAUCAAUCUGUAGAAUGUAGUUUUGAAUAAUAACUUUUUUGUGAAUAGAUUUUUCCAGUUAUCAGAAAUUACAUCAUUACAGAAAAUAUCUUCAAAAAAGAUAUUGCACUCAAGUGCUGUUUGUGAAAAAUAUUAUUAAUUCUUAGAAGAAAUUUAAGGCCUUGUACCAACUUAAUAACACAUUUUCGGAUAUAAGUAACUACCCAAUACAGACCAAUAUCAGAUACCAAAAGGGUACAUUAUAAAUCAAAAAUUUUAAUCUAGUUAAUGUUUGAUUUCAUAAAAAUUCUUCAUAAAUUUCUAUCACAAUAAUUAAUUUGGAGAAUAAUAGCUAAGCAUCUAAUUUUGUGCGAAAAUUAUAUGAAACCCACACCUUAUUUAGGAUACUCUGUUAUGAGACCCCAAAAUAUUAAACCCAUGAAAUUAAAAAUUCACUAUUUAGAUUUGUGAUUGUUUCCAAUCUAUGAGUUAAAUUUAACUAAUUUAUUUUCAUUCCCAUUAAUAAUAAUUGUUUUUGUACUUUCAAUCGUCUCUACAUAAUUAUGGAAUAUGAUGCUGCCCGUAUCGGCAUUCCAUAUCAAUUAAUUCCUCAAAAUUAGCUGGCUUAUAUACUCAGAAACAUUAGAGUGAAGUGUUAGACUGGGAAAAAAUAAUUUAUUGACCUUGAUUUUUUGAUAAUGUGAUAGCCUUUAACAAAAAUUCGAUUAAAAGCCACUCACAGAAAAAUUUGUUUGGCGAUCCUGUAGCUGAAUUCCUGCUUGAGGCACCUUCCAAACAACUUCAAUUUAUUGGAUUCGAGAUUAGGAUUUGAAUCUGAUAACCAAGAUGAUCACAACAAAGUUUCUGGAAGGUACUGCAUAGUUAAAUUAUUGACGAUCAUUAUAUUUCUGAAAAAUGACUUGACAACGACUAUUUAGAUAAGGUAGUAGUUACUUCCUCAACAUAACGCCUCGAUGUCACACUGUCUCAAAUAAACAAUAGUCAUGAUCAUGAUAAUCUCUGAAACUUAUAUGGUUUGUUAUGAAAAAAUUAAAAACGUCGCGAUUUUUGUUCAUAUUGAUGUUAUCCCGUCACUGAAUUUUAUUUCUUUUUUGACUUUCUUAUUUUUACAAUUCAUGAGGAUUAGAUUAUAUUAGAAGACCAUGAUGAUUAUAGAGUAUAAACGAACGUUUAAAACAAAGAAUCUGGAAUUUAUAAGGACAACAUUUAGAAAAAGCAAGAGCAAAAAGGAAAAAAAAUGAAAAAUUUCUCGUAAGCCGGCACAAACCCGCAGAUAAUUAUUAAUGGAAAGUAAACUAUAAACCUUAGAUUUCUGAACGAUUUUGAGAAAUUUUCGUUAUGAAUGAUUUGAAUUUUUUUAUGUUUUUCAUCAAAAAAAAAACUUUAAAAGAUUUUAUAAAACUUAAUUUUGGUCAAUCAAAACUGACGAUGGACAAUAAAAAUAGAAACUAAGAAGAACAGCUUAAUUAUGUCCACCAAAUGCAUAGAUUCGCCCCACCAUGUGGCGGCGUCUUAGCCCUUCUACAAUCAUCACUGCACCUAAACCGACAUUCGUAAAAUUCACUAAACACAAUAUUACAGCAUUUUAACUCCCCGUGCUAUUCUCUACAUACCGGUUCAAGCGUUAACAAUAGUGGUCAUCAGUCAAAAAAAGCAUUGACUGUGGAUGGUAUUAAAAUAAAACAAAAGCAUGAACAAAUCGAUAUAGAGUUCUUCGUAUUGGUUAGCAAUGAAACACGCGGCAGCAAAACUGUCUUGCAGAACUAGUUAUCUGAAACUUCUUCUUCUACCUCUACUUUCGUCUGUCCACACAUGCAUAACCGUCAAUACAACGGACAAUUUUACAUAUUUUCAAAUAAAUAAACAUAAAUUUGGGGCGAUCGAACUUGAAGCAUUUUAUGACACUAAACACAAGUAGACGAACUCGCAAUCCUCCCUAGAUUGUAAACAACGCCUUUCGACACUGUAAUUACAGUGUCAAAAUGCGUUGUUCACAAUAUAGGGAGAAGAAGAAAAAUAUUUACAAAUUAUUUCUUCUGGGCCUAACACUACUAAUACCACUGUUGAGAAGUUGGUUCGUUUUGAGUUCCUGAAGGAUUGUUACAUAAACCUUAUAUAUAAAAGUGUAUUUUCAAGUAAUUUGAACUGAUCCUAAGCAGGAAUAAAUCUGUACAAAAUAUUUUAUAAUUAUUGUUUCGUCAUACCGUUAUACCGAAUCACAUAUUAAUAUUAAUUAAUAUUGAAUUCUCUGUCUAGUAUUUUUGGGUCCAUCAAAUCAAAUGUAUCAAAUAAUAUUUAAUAUUUUAAUUAUCGAUUCAUAGUACUCAUUUUAGUUUCAAAGUUUUAAAAAUAUCGCGGAUAAAUUGUCUAAUUCUGAAUCUACAUCCACCACAGCCUAUAUGGUGAACAAAACAUAUUAUUUUUGUUGACGAACAACAAGUUAAAAAAAGUUGAUAAGGAAAUUCUAUGAGAAUUACAUUCAGUAUGAUACAACUUAUACUUUUUCAGAUAAUUAUUAGAUAUCCACAAGUUGUUUGUCCCAUUUUCUGACACAAUAAUCCGAGGGGGCUAAAUCUGGCGAUUAUAGUGCAUGAGGUAGGAAUUCAAAUUUUAAUUCAUUAAUUUUGGUCAUUGCAGUAACGGAUGUGUGAGCUGGUACAUUGUCUUCGCAUAAUACUCGCCGGCGAUAGUUUCUUUCUUUUCCAAUGAAAAUUAUCCCACGCGCAUCCCAAAAUACUGACGCCUGAAACUGCGCAAAAAUUCCGCUUUAUUUCUGUGAAACAUUGCCAAACACUCAUUUGGUCGACCACUGUGAUGCUAGUCUUCGUAGAUCGUACGGCCUCGUUAAAACUCUGCUACACAAUAUUUUACUGUUGAUAACGGAGGAACGUUUCACCCAGAGUAGAAUCUAGUUCAGAUUUUAUAUUGAUUGGCCUUUGAAAUGACCAAUUUUUCCAUAUUUACAAAUUCACUGAAAACCUUCACUAUUGAUGGCUGCCAAACAAAUACUAAGCAGACUUCCUCAAACUUGAAACAUUUUCAAGCAACUACCGCUAUUUCUAGAUGAGAAAAGGGACUUCUAGCACAUUCGUAUCGAGCAUUUUACGUUUCGAUUCAAUUAUUGUUAUCUACAAGUACUUGUGAAUCAUCUGGUGGUAUUUCCAUGGACAUUUUGACUGGCUAAGUUUUAUAAGUAGAUAAUUUUUAAUUUAAUUGGAGUAUGGUGAUUGCAAAAUAAUAAUCAGCUUUUAUGAACGUAACGUUUUAUUAUUCUGUUACAGUUAGUUACUGAAAAACUUUAAUAAACAUGAACUAAAACAUAUAAGAGAUUUAUUUACAAAUUUUUCUCAGUUUGAUCGGAGGUUUUCCUUUUUUAUGUAAUGUAGAAAUGAUCAGCCUUGUUACUGAAUCAAUAUUUAUUUACCCUGUAUAUUAAUACGAUUCAAAAUAGUGUUUGUAUAUUCAGAAUUAAUAAGUUAUUCGUUUUUUUAUAAAGUGGAGUCCAUGAAAAUAACUUUCAAUGUAAAUUUAUCCAUGAAUUUAAAAACAUAUGUUAUUUGUUAAAUGUUUAUUGAAAUAUAAGAUUUUUGUAAGUAUGUUGUAAACCUUUCGCAUUAUAUUUCGGACAAGGAAUUUAGUGGCAUUUCUCAGUAGGGUAUUUGAUUGUUGUGGAUAUAAUUUAUAAGUAUAUAAAAAGAGAAUUUACAUUAGUUAAAUAAUAACAACUAGUAAACAUUUAUUGUUUGAUGAAAAAUAUUAUGUAGUCUGUAUCACGAUCAAACCAAUUCGUUAAUUUCAAAGACUGUCUCUAUUUUGGUUGGCAAAGAAAGUUACAAAACAUCAAAAAGAACUGGGAAAUUAGAACAAUAUGCAUUGUUCUAGUUUGUACAAAAAUAUGCUUUUGAUUUUUGCCCCAUAGCUCACUUAGUUUUUAAGCAAUCAAGUCCUUAAAAAACAUUUUGUAGGUUGUAUUUAAAACUAUAAGCUCAUCUGAAUUAAAUUUUUUUCAGGUCUUAUUUUUAAAAAGGUUCAUGCUAAAAGGUGCUCUGCGCGAACGCAGGCAAAAAAAAUGGAACGAUAAAAUUUUUGGAAUAAAAAAACGUACAUUUUUGUACUCCACAAUAUUUCAAGCAUUAUUAAUAGUUUUUGACUUAUUUUGAAGAAAGUGUGAUUUUUCGCUAAAUUACGAAAAUGAUUUUCUGACUUUAAACAAAAAUUUUUUCAAAAAUAAGUACUUUAAACUUAUUAGGACAUAAAUUAAAUUGAAUUGGAAGUUGGCAACAACUUUUUUCAAAUAGGGUGGAAGAGAGGGUGAGAUUUUCACAAUUUUUUUUCCAACGAAAAAAUAGGAAUCGACAUUAUUCUACGAACUACGAAAUUCUUUAAAAAUUAAAAUAAAGGUUUUUUAGAGUGCUUUAAAAAAGGUUUUAUGAGUUUUUCACGUUUUUGGUUAUUGUACGUAGAAACUUUCCAUUUUGGCGUUUAAAAAUACCAAUCAACUUUUAACAAGCAAUAAUUCCGGUUGUUUGGGUCUGCAAAUAUCACAAAUACACCCUUUUUUUAUUUUUUUAUAAGCGAUAGUCUUGUUCUCCGCAGAUUUUUCGAUUAAAUGCAUAUUCCUCAAGUUAUUGACGGGAAAACGUCAGAAAACGUGUUUUUUUGCAUGAAAAUCGACAGUAUCAGUCUCGAUUAACUAGAAAAGUAAUUACUUCAUAGAAUGAGAGUGGUUUGAAUUAAGUCAAUUUACGCACUUAUUUUCAAUGAGAACUUUUUUACCCCCGAGAAUGGGUGGUAUCCACCUACAGGAAAAAAGCAACCCCCGGCACAGGUUAUAUUUUGAAAUAGAGAUUAAGUUAACCUAAAUCCAAAUUAAUUAUGGAAAAAUGGUACUGUAUGGGAUAAAUACACGAGAAAAUGUUUAUUGACCGAAGGUCGCUUGAUAUAAUGCAAUACAACGUGCAAGAAAUUGCAUGCAAGUCUCGGGAAACAGUAAAAGUUAACAAAUUCCUAACCUCUCAUUUUAUCUAAUAUUCUGUACCUAGUUUAACAAUGAAAAUAACAAAGCUACGUUUUACGAAAGUCAGCUGAUCUGUUAAGCAAAAGUAACUAGAUUUGAACUUGCAUGAAAUAAAAAUGGCACAAAACCGAUAAUGUCAAGAUCUUGCAUGAAGCAAUCAGAUGACCUUCAUCUGCGCAUGCUUUUGAUCAAGAAAUAUUGCGUCUUGCAUUGCAUUGCACGUUGUAUUGCAUCAUGUCAAGCGGUCUUGAACAAUAUAUGGGACUUGCUUCUGUAUCCUGACCAAACGCUCGACGUGAAACGACACUAACCGUGCAAUAAUUGACAUCUGCUAUCACACAAUCUGGGUUUACAUGAAACUUUUUGUAUUGCCAGCUUAGACGCCUUAACUGAUUCCACUGUAAUAUAAUAAAUAGAAUGGUUGGAUCAGAAGUUAAUCUCGAAAUUAAUACAUAUCAAUCUAUAUAAGAUUGUGGAUAACAUUUUUACAAUCUCGAAGUUCCUGUAGCUUGUGAGCGGGUAUCAUUGAUAUGGCUGACAGCCGGAGCUGCACUUCUGGUUUACACUAACCACCGGCUCUUACUUUAGUAGAAAAAUUAUUUUUUGGAGUUUUACAUUAUCCUUUUAACGACGAAGAUUCCGGUUAUUUAGAGUGGUUCAGCAUUGUGGGCACUAAUUUCUAAAUAAAAAGAGCUUAUGUCUAAAACAAGGACUGCUUUUUCGUCCUUGAAUUGCUAUUUACUAUAUAGUUCAAGUAUACUCAAACGCUGACUCAUUCUAAUGAACAGACGCUAAUAUUUUUCACAUAUUCUAUCUCUAAUUAAUAGAAAUUAUAUUCUAAUGGUCCUAUCAUGUUCUCUUUAUUUAUAUUUUGUACUAGCUUGAUCAAGUUACAAAAUUAACCGUGUGAAAUUAUUGCACAUUAAAAAAGUGAAUGUAUGUUUUUAUAUAAUAAAAUUAUUGCCACUUUUUAAGUCCAAUGUUUCUUGUUCGAUUCUUAUUGCAAGUACUGUACUUAAAACUAUACAUUAAUUUCAAAAAAUUAUAAACCAAAAUUGAAAAUAUUGUAGACAACUACCUUUAGAUAAUGGAUAAUUGAUAAAACCUGCAAUUAAAAGGUGUUCACAAUAAUAAGUUAAUGAAAAUAUAUUUUAAAUAAGAUUUUUAUGAAGUUCAAUGGAUAGCUUAGUAGCUUCAAAAUUCAAAGUAACCCAUUCAUUAUCUUGAUGCUCAAUUCUCAGUUUUCCAUAAUUUUAUUGUAUGCACAAAUCUUUACGUAGAUGUGUGAUUAAAAGCACAACUCAUUAGACUGCAAUGUCUCCACAUUGGUUUAAGUGUAAUCUAGAACUUGCUAAUUUUUUCUAUGUACAAACUUUUGCAUAGUUAUGUCAGUAAAUGUUUCCUUACACCUUUUUUUAUUUAAAUAUAACCCACAGCUGCUUCUUCCGUGAUAAUUCUAUAAAUGAGACAUUGAUUUUUGAUAAUUACCCAUUAAAAAAUUACCGAAUCUAUCACUUUUGAAUACCAUUAAAUAUAUUUAAAA